rnacentral:rRNA from 1 species
CUACGGGAGGCUGCAGUGAGGAAUAUUGCACAAUGGGGGGAACCCUGAUGCAGCAACGCCGCGUGGAGGAUGACGCAUUUCGGUGUGUAAACUCCUUUUAUAUGUCAAGAAAAUGACGGUAGCAUAUGAAUAAGCACCGGCUAACUCCGUGCCAGCAGCCGCGGUAAUACGGAGGGUGCAAGCGUUACUCGGAAUCACUGGGCGUAAAGGACGCGUAGGCGGGUUGGAAAGUCAGGUGUGAAAUCCUACAGCUUAACUGUAGAACUGCACUUGGAACUUCUAAUCUAGAGUAUGGGAGGGGGAGAUGGAAUUAGUGGUGUAGGGGUAAAAUCCGUAGAUAUCACUAGGAAUACCUAAAGCGAAGGCGAUCUCCUGGAACAUUACUGACGCUAAGGCGUGAAAGCGUGGGGAGCAAACAGGAUUAGAUACCCGCGCAGUC